rnacentral:rRNA from 1 species
GACGAACGCUGGCGGCGUGCUUAACACAUGCAAGUCGAACGAAGAGCGAUGGAAGCUUGCCUCUAUCAAUCUUAGUGGCGAACGGGUGAGUAACGCGUAAUCAACCUGCCCUUCAGAGGGGGACAACAGUUGGAAACGACUGCUAAUACCGCAUACGAUCUAACCUCGGCAUCGAGGAUAGAUGAAAGGUGGCCUCUACAUGUAAGCUAUCACUGAAGGAGGGGAUUGCGUCUGAUUAGCUAGUUGGAGGGGUAACGGCCCACCAAGGCGAUGAUCAGUAGCCGGUCUGAGAGGAUGAACGGCCACAUUGGGACUGAGACACGGCCCAGACUCCUACGGGAGGCAGCAGUGGGGAAUCUUCCGCAAUGGACGAAAGUCUGACGGAGCAACGCCGCGUGAGUGAUGACGGCCUUCGGGUUGUAAAGCUCUGUUAAUCGGGACGAAAGGCCUUCUUGCGAAUAGUGAG